rnacentral:snRNA from 1 species
UUCACUCUCUCAUAAGUGUCUC